UUCGAGCUCGCCUCGACCACGUACCCUUGACCUCAAAUCGGGUGAGACUACCCGCUGAACUUAAGCAUAU
rnacentral:rRNA from 1 species